GGCUGGGGCUUAGUGGUGGAGCGCUCACCUAGCAUGUGUGAGGCCCUGGGUUCAAUCCUCACCACCACCUA
rnacentral:tRNA from 1 species